CACACUGGAACUGAGACACGGUCCAGACUCCUACGGGACGCAGCAGUGGGGAAUUUUGGACAAUGGGCGCACGCCUGUUCCAACUUUGCCGCGUGCAGGAUGAAGGCCUUCGGGUUGUAAACUGCUUUUGUACGGAACGAAACGGCCUGCCCUAAUACGGUGGGCUAAUGACAGUACCGUAAGAAUAAGCACCGGCUAACUACGUGCCAG
rnacentral:rRNA from 1 species